rnacentral:rRNA from 1 species
UCGAGAAUCUUCGGCAAUGGGCGAAAGCCUGACCGAGCGACGCCGCGUGCGGGAUGAAGGCCUUCGGGUUGUAAACCGCUGUCGGAGGGGAUGAAAUGCCGAUGGGUACUCCCAACGGCUUGACUGAUCCUCGGAGGAAGGGUGGGCUAAGUUCGUGCCAGCAGCCGCGGUAAGACGUACCACCCAAACGUUAUUCGGAAUCACUGGGCUUAAAGAGUCCGUAGGCGGCUCGGUAAGUUGGAUGUGAAAUACCUCGGCUCAACCGAGGAACUGCAUUCAAAACUACCGAGCUUGAGAGAGACAGAGGUAAGCGGAACUGAUGGUGGAGCGGUGAAAUGCGUUGAUAUCAUCAGGAACACCGGUGGCGAAAGCGGCUUACUGGGUCUCUUCUGACGCUGAGGGACGAAAGCUAGGGGAGCGAACGGG